CCGGCACCCAGCCGGGCUUGGUGUCGCCUCGACCGGGGAGCGGCCGUGGGGCGGUUGUGCAACAGUAAUUAGCGCAGCUUCCCCAUCUCCCGCGGCAGGGAGCGGAUCAAAAGGAAGGGGCGUUUUAUCCUGCACCGGCGCGGUCGGGCCUGCUGCCGGCUGUCCUCGCCUGGAAGCCGGGCCUCGGGGCCUGGCGGCCGGGCCUGGGCUCGCCGUUUAGUCUUCCCGGGCAUCCUGGGCUUGACACCUCCGGCGUGUGGGGCUGCGGAGGUUCGCUUUCACGGAGGGCCUUUGUGCAAGUGAACAUUGUGUUUCCCGAGCGAGAAUUAUGCAUGGCAUAUAAACGUGGAGACAAUACGAGAUACGCUUUUAAGGGAGACUUUGUUAUAUAUCUGUCUGGAGUAGCAGGGCUGAAUCUGCAGUUUUAUGAGAAGUAACCCCCAUUUCUUCACUGUGAAUCACCAUAUAUACUUUUCUUUCUCACUCCCUCUCCCCAUACUUGAUAUUUGGGGCAAUUUUAUGUUUUGUUGUAAAAGCUGGAGCCUCAGAACAUUAAAUUCUUCACAUUUUCUAGAGCACCAGCAUGAGGACUACUGAAUCUAGUUCUUUGACACUUGUUCUAGUGACCUGACACAAAUCGAUAAUCUCCCUGCGUUAAAACGUCUACUGUACCUUGGUGCUUUGCGGAAAAAAACAAAAAAUCAGACUAUUUAAAGCGUUUCUUAACCUCAGGAAAAUAUACAGCAAAAUUCCACUGCAUUAAUAAAUUCAUAUUGUUUUUUAA